rnacentral:lncRNA from 1 species
UACUAUCCUCAACCUGAUCCUUGCUCUGUCACGAGAUGGCACACUCCAGCACAUCUCCAGCAUCAAUCCACAAAAGAGCAUUAUCCUCAAGCUCCAAUUCUCAUGUGGCUUCCAUUAGCUCAAUGUCUCAUAAGAGCACUUCAUCCUUUGCCAUCAUAGCCACGACCAACUCGAUUUCGUCGUCGCAAUCAACUCACACGAACAUUCCGUUCGCGAAUUCUAAUCCCGACUCCUCAACAGAGUUACCGGCCAAGCCGCUUUCCUCGGUUUCUACAGGUGGUCCAUAGACCGCCAAC